AGGCACCUGUAUCUCCUACCCGAUGGAAGAGGAGAGAAGAGAGAAUGACCCGGGUGGGUGGGGUCUUUGAUUAUGCCGGCUGCUUCACCAAGACAACGAGAGGUAAAGACAGAAUCCAAGGAGGGGAGGCUGGAGGAACACAGCAGAUGCUACCUGACUUGCUGAGUGUUCCCAGCAUGUCCUGUGUUUACUCGGCCUCUGCCUGUGUCUUGAGACUGAGUUAUUACAUAACAGUCCAACAGAAGUUGAAGCGGCAAAUGGAAGUGUCUCAGUGACGGGGAGGUUUGCCUGGGCAGAAGAAACAAAAACCUGAAAGCACGUACCUGCUUGAAAGCAGGCUCAAGGACAGCUUCUAUCCCACUGUUAUAAGACUAUUGAACGAUCCCCUAAUACAAUAAAAUGGAUUCUUGACCUCACAAUCUACCUCGUUAUGGCCUUGCACCUUAUUGUCUGCCUGCACUGCACCUUCUGUGUAACUGUAACACUUUAUUCUGCAUUCUGUUAUUGUUUUCCCUUGUACUACCUCAAUGCACUGUUGUAAUGAAGUGAUCUGUAUGGAUGGCAUGCAAAACAAAGUUUUUCACUGUAC